GAUGAACGCUGGCGGCGUGCCUAAUACAUGCAAGUCGAGCGAACAGACGAGGAGCUUGCUCCUCUGACGUUAGCGGCGGACGGGUGAGUAACACGUGGAUAACCUACCUAUAAGACUGGGAUAACUUCGGGAAACCGGAGCUAAUACCGGAUAAUAUAUUGAACCGCAUGGUUCAAUAGUGAAAGACGGUUUUGCUGUCACUUAUAGAUGGAUCCGCGCCGCAUUAGCUAGUUGGUAAGGUAACGGCUUACCAAGGCGACGAUGCGUAGCCGACCUGAGAGGGUGAUCGGCCACACUGGAACUGAGACACGGUCCAGACUCCUACGGGAGGCAGCAGUAGGGAAUAUUCCGCAAUGGGCGAAAGCCUGACGGAGCAACGCCGCGUGAGUGAUGAGGGUCUUCGGAUCGUAAAACUCUGUUAUUAGGGAAGAACAAAUGUGUAAGUAACUAUGCACGUCUUGACGGUACCUAAUCAGAAAGCCACGGCUAACUACGUG
rnacentral:rRNA from 1 species